rnacentral:rRNA from 1 species
GACGUAGGGGGCGAGCGUUGUCCGGAUUUAUUGGGCGUAAAGCGCGCGUAGGCGGCCCGGAAAGUCGGAUGUGAAAUCCCGGGGCUCAACCCCGGGCCUGCAUCCGAUACUCCCGGGCUGGAGGCAGGUAGGGGUAUGCGGAACUAUCGGUGGAGCGGUGAAAUGCGUUGAUAUCGAUAGGAACUCCGGUGGCGAAGGCGGCAUACUGGACCGGCAUUGACGCUGAGGCGCGAAAGCCAGGGGAGCAAACGGG